UAAUAUCAGAUGAUGCAGCGGCUCGACAUCGAGACAGUUUGUUUAAAACCGUUCGGGGGCCCUAAAAGAUGAGCCUGCGUCUGAUUAGGUAGUUGGCGGAGUAAUAGCCCACCAAGCCUGCGAUCAGUAGCUGGUCUGAGAGGAUGAUCAGCCACACUGGAACUGAGACACGGUCCAGACUCCUACGGGAGGCAGCAGUAAGGAAUAUUGCUCAAUGGCCGAAAGGCUGAAGCAGCAACGCCGCGUGGAGGACGAAAUACUUUUGUAUGUAAACUCCUGUAAGAAGGGAAAAUAUGCAGUUUUCUGCAUUGAUUGUACCUUCAGAGUAAGCCCCGGCUAACUACGUG
rnacentral:rRNA from 1 species